CCUCCUCUGGAGCUCGGAAAACGAGGACACAGCCCGAGAGGGGAAAGGACUCUCAACUACAUCUCAAGCAGCCUGGCCCUUUGGAACCCAGGACUGAGCAGUUCAACUUGGAGGACAACUCCCCCCUUCCCUCCCUCCAGGGGCACAGGUCCCAGGACCUUCCAGCCGGUAGAAACCCUCCAAGAGAGGAGAGUUCGAUUUAAAAUUUUUUGGAAUGCAUUCUUUCUGAAAGUAUCAAGACGGCGCCAGGCAGCUCAGUGUUCGCAGACAGCUGUGGCGCGACGCAACUUAAGGAGGUUCUAGUGUCAUCCGCGCUGAGGGGGGAGGAGCCUGGCGCUGGUGAGGAGGGGACAGGAUCCCCAGCACAAGGAAACUGCAACCCAAAGCCGCUCCAGGACUUCGCCGCCCCCCGCCCCUCCGCCCUCCCCUCCACUGACCGGAAAGGGGCGCCGCAGAGGGCGGCCGCAGGCGGAGAGGGUGGGCGAGGCCCGCCGAGGUUUGGGGUUGAGGGGGCGGGCAAGAGGGAAUUCGCGCUCUGGCCCUUUAAAUGUGGCUCCGGCUUCUGCCAAUUCAUUUGGGCUCGUUAGAUUAUUUCGUCCCGGAGAAACCGGUCUGCCCCAUUCAUAAAGUUAAUUUCUACAGGCAGACUUUCCCCUACCCCCUCUCCAAGGUUUUUUUAUGUGCAAAAGAAAAAAAAUGCUUUUAUUCAAUCCAGGAUAUUUGGGAGGGUUUAUUUAUUUGGGGAUAUGUGCGCGUAAAACCGAUGAGGAAAAAAAAAUGUUUAAUGUCAAGGUACUUUGAGACUUCCCUCUUGUGCAGGUUUCCUAAAAGACUGAAGGCUCAGGCGAAGAUGUUUGUCUUUGAUCCUACUGUCCGUAUUACUUUUGUUGUGAACAUUUUCCCCAGCUCUGUGCUUUUAACGAGCCUCUCAAAUGAAUACGAUUUAGCUGUUGCAACUGUCCUCUCUAAAUCUAAUAUUUGUAAUCGGUGUUUGCUUUUGAUUUGAGUGACAAGUGAUGGAUGAAAAGGAGGGAGGGAGGAAGAGAAAGACUGACCGGUUCUCUAAGUACAGGGUAAAUGGAAGUAACUCUCGUCUUUACUCCAGUUCCCGAACUUUGCCUGUCAGAUCCUUCACCCGCCCGGAGUCUUCCUCCCGCUCUCAGCGCUUCUCCCCCACCCAAGCAAACUAGCUCCCCCCCGCCCCUCCACUGACCCGAGCCCCCCGCCGCCCGGACACGACUCAGCAGCGACCUUCCCCCAGACUCAGCGGGUCUCCAGGAGAAACUGCCGAGUCCGGCCGCCCCGGGCUGUGAGAGCGGAGCUCCGAGACCGAGCAGUCGGCGGAGCUCCGGUGGAGGACACGAGGAUGAAACCAAGGAGGAUGCUGCCGCCGCCCCUACAGAGCCCUGGGCUCCUGUAGGGCGAGAGGCCUCUCACCAUGGUAAGGGGCUGGCAAACGCAUGGUCGCCUGGAACCCUGGGGGCAAACAUCCCGGAGACCAGCAGGCGACGGCGUAGCCGUCACUCCCGGAACAAACUGGUCUUGGUGCUGCUCGUGGGGCCACGGCAGCCAGUUUGGCCUAUCUUAAAGCCCAGGCCUCGAGGUUGCUGCUUUAGGCGUCAAGUUGAGUGGGGUAUGUGUGCCCUCUUGGGGAAAGGGUAAGGAAUAAAGUUUUACUUUCUAUCUCUGGUUGCGGUAAGAGGGGACCACACACACGCACACAGACACCAACCCAUGUAUAGGUCCCCCCCUCCCGGGGGCGCAGAGACCUGUCCCGGGUGGAAGUGGGGAACCCAGUCCCGCAUAAAAACCUGAUCCCAUGGCGCAAAGGAGAAGUGCAGGCCCCCAGUGCUCAUCCCUUGGGUCCCAAGACCAGGAGAGAGGAGAUCCACGCGGCCAGAGCCACCCACCCGAGCCUGGGGACCGGCGCGUCAAGGCGAGCUCCGCGGGGCCGAGGUGCCUGGAGAAGCGGCCCCGGGCGCCCGCGCGAUGCCCGCAGAGGGUAACAAGAAAAGCCGAGCCUCAGGGUCGAAGUCAUAAAGUUACUAAUCCCGCGCUGGGGGAGUGAGCGUGCCUCAGGCCGCCUGGGGCGGUCAUUUGAGCGUGUUUACUUAAGGACUUUGCAAGCCGAGCGCGCGAGAAAUAGUCGGAUUUCCAGCGAGGCAGCAAAUAUUUGCAGGCUAGAGAAAGAAGCGGAGCCGGGCCGCGCCGCCGCGUCCCUCCCCCCGGAGCCGCGGCGCCGGCCUGGGCGGACCCAGCCGCGCUGUUAAAGACAGAAAUGAACCCGGGAACCUGUGGGGCUGGG